AAUGCAUGUUUGCAUCUAGCAAUCAAUCUAAAUCAUAAAUUAUCUUAUUGUAAAUCUUAUGUGUUCCCUCACUAGUUCAAUUGCACUGAAUAAGUUGUCUUAGAUUGAAUUUUAAAAUUGUGAAUAUAUGGAAGUGGAGGAGUACGUCAAGCACCCAGGGAAGUUUGCACUUGUUGGAGGAAAACGGCUCAAGGGAAUGAUCAUGACAGGUGGGCUUGGGACUGGUAAGACUCUGCUUUCCAAGACUAUUGCAGCAGAAGCCAGAGUACCUUCAUUUAUUCAGAGCAGAUUCAGAAAGGAAUUGAGGGUCUGCCAAUGGUAUUCUCUGUGUGCAACAUUAUAAAAGGGAGAAGGAGAAAAUGUAGAAGCA